UACGUAGGGGGCAAGCGUUGUCCGGAUUUAUUGGGCGUAAAGAGCGUGUAGGCGGCCAGGUAGGUCUGCUGUGAAAACUCGAGGCUUAACCUCGAGCUGUCGGCGGAAACCAUCUGGCUAGAGUCCGGAAGAGGAGAAUGGAAUUCCCGGUGUAGCGGUGAAAUGCGCAGAUAUCGGGAAGAACACCCGUGGCGGAGGCGGUUCUCUGGGACGGUACUGACGCUGAGACGCGAAAGCCAGGGGAGCAAACGGG
rnacentral:rRNA from 1 species